AAACAACCUGGCGGCGUGCCUAACACAUGCAAGUCGAGCGCGAAUGGAGCAAUCCUAGUAGAGCGGCGCACGGGUGAGUAACACGUGGGUAAUCUGCCUGGAAGUCCGGGACAACCUGCCGAAAGGCUGGCUAAUACCGGAUAAGCCCACAGGGUCUUCGGACCCCGAGGGAAAAGAUGGCCUCUGCAUGCAAGCUAUCACUUCCAGAUGAGCCCGCGACCCAUCAGCUAGUUGGCGGGGUAAUGGCCCACCAAGGCAACGACGGGUAGCUGGUCUGAGAGGACGAUCAGCCACACUGGAACUGAGACACGGUCCAGACUCCUACGGGAGGCAGCAGUGGGGAAUUUUGCGCAAUGGGCGAAAGCCUGACGCAGCAACGCCGCGUGUGUGAUGAAGGUCUUCGGAUCGUAAAGCACUUUCGACUGGGACGAAAACCCGCUGGCUAACAUCCAGCGGUCUGACGGUACCGGGAGAAGAAGCACCGGCUAACUCUGUGCCAGCAGCCGCGGUAAUACAGAGGGUGCAAGCGUUGUUCGGAAUUAUUGGGCGUAAAGCGCGUGUA
rnacentral:rRNA from 1 species